rnacentral:rRNA from 1 species
AAAUUUUAUAUAAUUCAUUUAAGAUAAUAUGUAAAAUUUAUUAAGGUAAUGAAAUUAUAUUUAAUUGGGAGGAUUAUUAAAUUUAUUAAACUUUAAAUUUUAAAUAAAUAAAAUUAUAAAUUAAUAUUUAAAAAUUUUUAGAAUAAUUAGUAAAUUAAAUUAGAAUUAAUUACUUUAGGGAUAACAGCGUAAUAUUUUUAUAAAGAUCUUAUUGGUAAAAAUGAUUGC